AAGAGUGCAGGGGGAGAGGGAACAGUUAUUUCUCAAGCCAUUAAUACAGUUCUUACACGACUCUGCCUCCUGGCCCACAGUGAUAGACCCACAGUUGGGAGUGGACCACACAGUGGGCCAGCUGUAGAGCCUGAGACUGGGUAAGAGAUGGACAUCUGACCCAAGUAGGGACAGUGCAGUGCGUGCUUGGAAUUGAUGACCUAGGGACCAGAGAGCAGUGCUCAUUGUCUCUUUGUGGCGGGGUUAGCAGCUCUGAAGUCAUUGGGAUGGCAUUUCCCGCCAGGUGGAAGAAGCUGACCUGUAGUUGAAGAACUGAUACCCACACCCAGAGCUGCAGAGAGAGGGUGCAUAACAGCAGCAUGCCAGAUCCAUUUCCAGCUCUUCUGAGGUGCAGCCACACCUUGACCUUCCUGCAGUCCUCUUAGCCUUCCAAAUACAUUUACCUUUGAGUGUAAAUGAAUUUAAGGGAGCUAAUGAACCAUGACAAGAACAAAAGGCCGGCAGCCAAGAGGAGGGGGAAACAGGAGCUGGCAGACCUGACCGGACCGCGGCUCCUAAGCUGUUUGUUUCCCUUCUCAAAGGCGCAAAAAAAGAACCCAGGUAUGAAGUCAAAGAAAGAGCAGUGGGGAAGCCUGAAAAAAGUUCAAAGUGCAGGACAAAGGCAGAGCUGGAGCUGUUCCUGCACCUGUGGGCACGAAAUAAUUGCCUUAAGAGCACCCGAAUUGAAGCAGAGAAGGUGGGGACACAUUUCUUGGCCCUUUGAUGAACAAACUGAAGAUCACUGUUCUGGCUUUCCAACUGCAGAAGCUGUGAUGUGGCAGGAAGAGUUGGGACUGUGCAGCCAGGCUAGCUCUCCCAUGUCCCUCGUCCAUCCUUCAUUGCCCACUCACUUGCCGAGAGCUGCUGAGGUUCAAGCACCCAGGAUAUCCAGGUGGGCCACAUUCGGCAGGGCAUUGUGACUUGGCGCCAAGUCUUUCAGCCUCCCUCCAUCUCACUUUCUUUACCUGCAAAUAACAAUACCGCAGACCCCUCACAAGCAGAACUGGUUCAGCUGGUGCUUGGUAGGUAGUCAAAAUCAACCUUCAAGAGUCGGUGUCCUGGAGCUCAGCAGCUGUCCCGGGCCUGGAAGAUGGGGUGUGCUCCUGCUCCGUCUCCUUGUGUGGUUCUGGAGUGGGGGAUCUGCACAGCCUGUGGGGUCCCCAGAGAGCCUGGGGCUGCUGCAGAGCAAGUUCUCUGUUGUUGGCAAAUAAAGCCAUAGCAGAGAUGACUCCAGUAAGCUGAGCACCCUCUGAACAAAGAAGGAAAUGUAUUUGCUCUUUCCUGAGGCCUAUUAAAUAUUGGAAAAAACACUGCCAGAUUUAACUUCAAAAUGUAAUUUUUCCAUUAUGGCUGGAGUGCACUCCCCGGCCAUCCAAAGGCUUCUAAAUGCAUUGGGGGCUCAGUUACGACCCUCACCAAGUUGUCUUGUCUCACCUGGAACCCACUGGCCCUCACAGAGUUGAGAGAAUAUUCAUUUUCUUGAACUCUUAUCAACAACAGUUUCUCGCUUGCCAUGAUUCCAUGAAACUGGGCAGCCCGCAUCUCAGAGAUAGGAAGUCAGAGAAAUUCUAUACAUAGGCUGUAUUUGCUGAGAAGACAAAGAGACUAUUUUCCAUUUCUCACUUCUCUCUCAAAGUGCAAAAACAACGGGCCUGUCUGGCCUAGUCACUGCUUUCUGUCUCUGAAGUGUUCCAGGCGCCAGCACCAGCCUUCCUCCUCAUUAACGUUCCAUGAUGACUCCUUCCAGGUGCUGGGGAUCCAGCCCACGGGGUUAUUAGAGGGCAGACACCAACAGGGAAGGUGCUGUUGACUCACCCUCACAAAUAUCAUUCCUUACAUUGUCAGGGCAAUUACAAAACACGACUUUAAAAAAUGCAAUAAUAAAAUAUCCAACUGAAGACUUUCACUAUAAUUAAUCCGCCAAUCUUAUAUUUUGAGAAGGUCGAGAGCCGUGAGGGAAAAUAAACCCUAGAGAAAUGCAUUGUUUUUAAAUUCUUUCAGUAAAGACAUGUAGGCAUUUUCUAAUGUUUUUCCCAAAAAGAAUAUCUACCCCUCUAAUUCCACAAGAGCUAUAAAGAAUUAAAGAAAUUGUGAUUAACAGCCCUGCAUCUGGAGCUCAUGAAGCUCAGAGGAUUGGGAAUGAAGUGGCAGGUUUAGGUUCGAAUCAGAACUUCUGGAUUUAAGAAAACAAAACAGGCCAGGCGCAGUGGCUCACACCUGUAAUCCCAGCACUUUGGGAGGCCAAGGCGGGAGGAUCACCUGAGGUCAGGAGCUUGAGACCAGCCUGCCCAACAUGAGAAACCCUGUGUCUACUAAGAAUAAAAAAAUUAGCCAGGCAUGGUGGUGCACGCCUGUUAAUCCCCGCUACUUGGGAGUUUGAGGCAGGAGAAUCCUUUGAACCCGGGAAGCAGAGGUUGCAGUGAGCCGAGAUGGAGCCACUGCACUCCAGCCUGGGCCACAGAGCGAGACUCCGUCUCAAACAAACAAACAACACAAAAUGCAAAUUCUGGCCAGGCAUGGUGGCUCAUAUCUGUAAUCCCAGCACCUUGGGCGGCCAAGGUAGCGUAUCACUUGAGGUCAGGAGUUCAAGACCAGCCUGGCCAACAUGGUGAAACCCCGUCUCUACUAAAAAUACAAAAAUUAGCCAGGUGUGGUGUUGUGCACCUGUAGUCCCAGCUACUCGGAAGGCUGAGGCAGGAGAAUCGCCUGAACCUGGGUGACAGAGGUUGCAGUGAGCACAGACCGUGACACUGCACCCCAACCUGAGUGACAGAGUGACUCCAUUAAAAACACACACACAGAUUGCAGAUUCCCGGGCCCCAUCCUCGCCUUUCUGAAUUGGAGCCUUUCAUCCUUUAAGAAUGAGAGGGUGAAAUCUGCAUGUCAUACAGAUAGCCCAGGGUCUAUUAAUCUGAUGUUGCUCCCCAGCUCCCUCCAACACCAUCAGAGGGUGCACGGAUUAGGCCACUGUCGAGUGCAGAGAAGGAUCCUAGGUGCCGCGUGGCUGUGCCAAAGCAGCAGAAACAGGUGGUGUGCCUUAAGAUGCAUGCUCCAAAGCUGUCCGCAAGGCCUCUGGUACAGGCUUCCAGGUCUGCGUCUCGGCUUCCCCGACAGUGUCCAUGCGACACUGUCACCAGUUUCUCCUGUCACAAGCAGAAAAUCAAAUUCGGAUUGAGCAAAUGAUUCCCUGCCCGGGUGUGGAAGAAGGGUCAAGUCCUAAGGAUGGAGAGAGCGCCGGCUCCUGCCAGGAUCCGCGAAGCUCGGGAGGAGAGGCCAAGCCACCAGGCACCCGGCGGGAGAGGAGGCAGCGGGAGGGCGACGCCCAGUGCCUGCAGGCCGGGCGGUCCACGCCUCCCCUCCCCCUGCACACCCUAUUCCCUUCCGGUUGCCCCGCCCGGGGAAGCCCCCUCCCACACCUGCCCGCCCAGCAUCUGCACGAGAGCCGCGAGCCCUGGCCGCAGAGCUGGGAGUGGGCCGCUCACCUCAGACGGCGGCCGCAGCCCGGCCCUGACCACCGGCCGCCUGAGCCCUCCGUUCGCUCGGCGCGAGAGCCGCCACCCGCCCUUACCCCCAUCCAGUCCGAGGCCAGCCCCGUAGGCUCCGAGCCUGCUCCGUGAGAAGCCUUUUCCCCAGAAGGAGAGUUACUGGAAAGCAAGAGGAAGCCGAGGAGAGGCGGCGGCUGCAGCGCGUGGGGCCGGGCGGGGGCGCGGGGCGUCCGGCCACGGACUGGGCAGCGCGGUGUCCCCUCAGCCUGGGACACGGCGCGGCGCCGGCGCCACCCAGCGGACGCAGCGGGAAUUGCGCUCCCUCCCUACCGGGGGCUCCGGACACACAGACCAAGAACGACGCCUGCACCUGAAUAAACGCUCGGGACCAGGCCGCUAUCGUCCCUCUGCUGGGAGUGAGUCAAGUCUCAGCAAAAGAAGAAACCGCCUUGGCCGUAAUUCCAAGAGUGCUGAUGAAGACGGUGACAUCUGACGUUUCAAGGGCACUUUCCAUUUCCUCCGGUGUGCGCGUUCCGGGCCAGUGGAGCGCUGCGCCGCCGGUGCUGGACCUGGAGGUCUACAGGACUGUGACAAGUCGGAGUCUCGGAGUCCUGGGUUAAACAUCAGUCGGGAGCAUUCCUUCAUUCCCUGAGCUCCCCUUGCCCUUCACCCUUUGGUCCCUGAAGCCGGAAGGGAGACUGCCCCGCCCCUUGCCUGCCGCCCGUGUGGCUCUCCCGGGGCCCUCAUGGCCCCUCUUUCCCAGCCCUCCAAACGGUGAAGGGUUGUUUCUACUGGUGACUUCCACCUGUGGGAGCAGAGAAAGGAAGCGGGGCAGGGGAGAAGGGGAAGGUCAGGCGAUUCCCCUCCUUGCGCUGCAAGCCGGGAAAUAGAACACCUGCAGCCCUCCCCGGCGCCCUGCGAAUAGGUGGGAGUGGGAACACCACCAGGGCAGAGCCCCUCCAGCUGGCUGGGGUCUGCACCUCCUCGCCAGCCCGGCCACUCAAAACGGUGCUCGCCUCCCUGCUGGGGUGUAGAAGCCUCUUGGAGCACCACUUGUAGAAAAUCAAGUCCCUGGAAAGAAGCAAAAUUAAUCCGUUUGUUUCUCUAUUUAUUUUUGCUUCCCCACACCCAGUAUUCACUUCAUCCAAGGCUGCCCAGUGUCACCUCCCACCCAGAGGAAUCUGCCCUCUCCACCCCAGGCCAACAGCCUCUGCCUUCAGCCGUGGUCCUCCACUCUGGCAUUACUCUGGGCAGAGGGCUCAGGAGGGCUCAAGGAGGACCAAUGACAUUCAGAGUGGCCAGAGUAAAGGGA
rnacentral:lncRNA from 1 species